AAAUUGAAGAGUUUGAUCAUGGCUCAGAUUGAACGCUGGCGGCAGGCCUAACACAUGCAAGUCGAACGGUAACAGGAAGCAGCUUGCUGCUUCGCUGACGAGUGGCGGACGGGUGAGUAAUGUCUGGGAAACUGCCUGAUGGAGGGGGAUAACUACUGGAAACGGUGGCUAAUACCGCAUAACGUCGCAAGACCAAAGAGGGGGACCUUCGGGCCUCUUGCCAUCAGAUGUGCCCAGAUGGGAUUAGCUUGUUGGUGAGGUAACGGCUCACCAAGGCGACGAUCCCUAGCUGGUCUGAGAGGAUGACCAGCCACACUGGAACUGAGACACGGUCCAGACUCCUACGGGAGGCAGCAGUGGGGAAUAUUGCACAAUGGGCGCAAGCCUGAUGCAGCCAUGCCGCGUGUAUGAAGAAGGCCUUCGGGUUGUAAAGUACUUUCAGCGGGGAGGAAGGUGUUGCGGUUAAUAACCGCAGCAAUUGACGUUACCCGCAGAAGAAGCACCGGCUAACUCCGUGCCAGCAGCCGCGGUAAUACGGAGGGUG
rnacentral:rRNA from 2 species